GACGAACGCUGGCGGCGUGCCUAAUACAUGCAAGUCGAGCGAAGUUUUUCCGGUGCUUGCACCGGAAAAACUUAGCGGCGAACGGGUGAGUAACACGUAAAGAACCUGCCUCAUAGACUGGGACAACUAUUGGAAACGAUAGCUAAUACCGGAUAAUAGCAUUAACUGCAUGGUUGAUGUUUAAAAGUUGGUUUUGCUAACACUAUGAGAUGGCUUUGCGGUGCAUUAGCUAGUUGGUGGGGUAAAGGCCUACCAAGGCGACGAUGCAUAGCCGACCUGAGAGGGUGAUCGGCCACACUGGGACUGAGACACGGCCCAGACUCCUACGGGAGGCAGCAGUAGGGAAUCUUCCGCAAUGGGCGAAAGCCUGACGGAGCAACGCCGCGUGAGUGAAGAAGGAUUUCGGUUCGUAAAGCCCUGUUGUUAGGGAAGAAUGAUUGUGUAGUAACUAUACACAGUAGAGACGGUACCUAACCAGAAAGCCACGGCUAACUACGUG
rnacentral:rRNA from 1 species